rnacentral:rRNA from 1 species
GAUGAACGCUAGCGGCAGGCCUAACACAUGCAAGUCGAGGGAGAAGCCCUUUCGGGGGCAGAAACCGGCGCACGGGUGCGUAACGCGUAUGCAACCUACCUUUCACAGGGGGAUAGCCCGAAGAAAUUUGGAUUAAUACCCCAUAAUAUUAUUGGAUGGCAUCAUUUGAUAAUUAAAACUGCGGUGGUGAAAGAUGGGCAUGCGUCCUAUUAGCUAGUUGGAGUGGUAACGGCACCCCAAGGCUACGAUAGGUAGGGGUCGUGAGAGGGAGGUCCCCCACACUGGUACUGAGACAGGGACCAGACUCGUACGGGAGGAAGCAGUGAGGAAGAUUGGUCAAUGGUCGGAAGACUGAGCCAGCCAUGCCGCGUGCAGGAAGACUGCCUUAUGGGUUGUAAACUUCUUUUAUAUGGGAAGAAUAAGGUGUACGUGUACAUUGAUGACGGUACCAUAUGAAUAAGCAUCGGCUAACUCCGUG